GUGAGGUCGGGUGCGGCGGCGGGGGUAGGACGUACCGUGCGAACGUUGGGGGGUAGCACUGGGCGUGAAGGGCGCGGAUGCGGGUUGCCAAGGCGGGGGUGAAAUAGUUCGGCUUGACUGGAGAAGUGCCUUCGAUACUGGCGGGCUAGAGGGAGGUAGGGGUCAUUGGAACUUCUGGUGGAGCGGUGAAAUGCGUUGAUAUCAGAAGGAACGCCGGUGGCGAAAGCGAAUGACUGGACCUCUUCUGACGCUGAGGCGCGAAAGCUAGGGGAGCAAACGGGAUUAGAUACCCCGGUAGUC
rnacentral:rRNA from 1 species